UUCCGGUUGAUCCUGCCGGAGGUUACUGCUAUCGGUGUUCGCCUAAGCCAUGCGAGUCAUAUGUAGCAAUACAUGGCGUACUGCUCAGUAACACGUGGAUAACCUGCCCUUGGGACCGGCAUAACCCCGGGAAACUGGGGAUAAUUCCGGAUAACGCAUAUGUGCUGGAAUGCUUUAUGCGUAAAAUGGAUUCGUCUGCCCAAGGAUGGGUCUGCGGCCUAUCAGGUAGUAGUGGGUGUAAUGUACCUACUAGCCAGCGACGGGUACGGGUUGUGAGAACAAGAGCCCGGAGAUGGAUUCUGAGACAUGAAUCCAGGCCCUACGGGGCGCAGCAGGCGCGAAAACUUUACAAUGCGGGAAACCGUGAUAAGGGGACACCGAGUGCCAGCAUCAUAUGCUGGCUGUCCAGGUGUGUAAAAUACACCUGUUAGCAAGGGCCGGGCAAGACCGGUGCCAGCCGCCGCGGUAACACCGGCGGCCCGAGUGGUGAUCGUGAUUAUUGGGUCUAAAGGGUCCGUAGCCGGUUUGGUCAGUCCUCCGGGAAAUCUGAUAGCUCAACUAUUAGGCUUUCGGGGGAUACUGCCAGACUUGGAACCGGGAGAGGUAAGAGGUAC
rnacentral:rRNA from 1 species